rnacentral:lncRNA from 1 species
ACCUGUUUACAUUUUUGAAAAGUCCAAGCAAUAUAAGAAAAGUUAUACGCAAACCUUAUCUCUACAUCCUGAAAAGUAGAGAGAUUGUUUCUGAAAGAUCCUCAACUCAAGUUACACACAUCAAAGCAAUUAAAAGAAAAGUUACAAACAUAAAAUAAAGCAUAAACCCUAGAUUUCUAUUUUUGUUUUUCGAAAACUGGUAAUUUUUAUAAACCUUAGAUUCCUUUGUUAAAGUUGCACAAAGUAACCAACAAUUAUAUGUAUAUAUAUAGUUUAAGAGACGGAAAUUUACUCUAUUUAUAGUUCCAGCAAGAGCGCCAUCGAUAUGAACUUCCGUUACAAAUUUUCAAUCCUCCGGCAACCAGCUUGGCCUUGCAGCAUUCACCUCAAUCUAUCUAUUCACCUUAUGCAUAGGCGUAACCGUCUCAACCACCGACUCCGUCAUCUGAACCUCCAUCUUACUCUCCGAUUCCACCGACGCCAAAGUAGCUAGGUCGACCUCCUUUCCUUUUUCAACAACGACAUCAACUUUGUUCGGUUUGGCGGUUUCAACCCGAGCAUUCAUCUCAUUGUUGAUGUAGGUUUCCGAUUGUAACAAUGGAUCUGGCGGUAUACCAUCAUCACCUUUGGUAAAAGUAACGAGCGGCAUGGUGUCGGCAGCAGCGGGUCAGUCAUCGGGGGAAGCAUUGAAAGAGUCAAAUAGGGAGAAAAAAAUUCAAUUGGACUGACAGUAUAUAUUUUUGUUUGCACUUUAAAGUAAAUCUUCUUCUUAAACAAUAUAACAAUAUAUAUAUAACAUUCCUCAUUAUUCUAGAAAUGUAUUUAAUUUUUUUUCUAAAGAAAUACAAAACUCAUUACGUAGUCAAAGUGAUGUGGUACAAAAUAAUUGUAUAAAAGAAAUUCAACUUUUUUAUGAUUAUUCUAUAAAUAAGUUAUAAAGCAAAAUAAAUUUAUUGAAAUGUUGGGGUCUAACAUUUAAUGACAAUAUGAAAUAUAAAAGAUACGACGUACCAUGUUUUCAACUUCAUUUGGGAAGUUAAUAAGUUUUAUUCCUAUUUUGUUUUAAUGGAGAAGGAAGUAAGAGGAAAUACAAGUUGAAAACAUGGUACAUCGUAUCUUUUUAUAUUUCAUAUUGUCAUAUAUGUGAAAAUAAACUAGUAUAUCAAGUACAACAACAACAAUAUACCCAGUGUAUUCUUACAAGGUGGGGUCUUCUCACAAGGUGGGGUCUGGGGAGGGUAAGUGUACGCAGUCCAUACCACUACCUCAGAUGAAGUAGAGAGGCUGUUUUCGAUAGACCCCUGACUUAAGACAUAUAACAGUAUAACCAACAAACAAACAUAAAACAUAAAAGCACACAAUAAAAAUGGGAUAACAUACCGCUAGAUUAUGAUGAAAACAAGACACCCACAAGGUAAUAUUAUAAACCAUCUAUUCAAAAUCGAAAAUAAUUUAGCACCACUAACAAGCAACUACAGGCGUAGAUACAAACAAAAGCACUCCUACCCACUAACCCUCUACCCUAAUCCGCGUCCUCCACACCUUCUUAUCAAGGGUCAUGUCCUCCGUAAGCUAUAACUGCUCCAUAUCAUGUUUAAUCACCUCCCACCAAUAUUUUCUUUGGCCUACCUAUCCCCCGCCUAAAACCAUCCAUAGAAAACCUCUCAGACCUAUGAACUGGAGCAUCCGUGCCCCUCCUCAUCACAUGCCCGAACCAUCGUAACCUCACUUUCCACAUUUUGUCCUCUACGAAGCCACUCCCACCUUCCGAAUAAUCUCAUUUCUAACCCUAUCACUCCUGGUAAGUCCACACAUCCAUCGCAACAUACUCAUCUCUGCCACCUUCAACUUCUGGAUAUGAGAGCUUUUAACUGGCCAACAUUCUCCCCCAUACAACAUAGCCGGUCUGACUACUACUCUAUAGAACUUACCUUUAAGCUUAGGAGGCACCUCCUUAUCACACAAAACCCCCGAAGCGAGCCUCUAUUUCAACCCCCCUGCACCAAUACGGUGCGUGACAUCCUCAUCAAUCUCGCUAUUUUCCUGAAUCAUAGAACCAAGAUACUUAAAACUCUCAUUCUUCUGAAUGGCCUAAGAAUCCAGCUUCAUUACCAUAUCAGCCUCAUGCAACAAAUCACUAAACUUACAUUCCAAGUACUCCAUCUUGGUCUUGCUUAACCUAAACCCUUUGGACUCUAGGGUCGGUCUCCAAACCUCCAACUUAUCAUUGACACCUCGCCAAGUCUCAUCAAUCAAUACAACAUCAUCAGUAAAUAACGUACACCAAGGCACAUCUCCUUGAAAAUGCCGCGUCAAAAAAUCCAUCACCAAGGAAAAUAAAAAGAGGCUAAGAGUCGAUCCUUGGUGCAAUCCAAUCAAAAUAGGAAAGUGCUCCGAAUCUCCUCCCGUCCUCAUAUGAGUCUUCGCAUCGUCGUACAUGCCUUGAAUUGACUUAGUGUACGUCAUGAGCAUGCCUCUAACCUCCAAGCACCUCCACAAAAUCUCCCUAGGGACUUCGUCAUAAGCCUUCCCAAAAUUAAUUAACACUAGGUACAAGUCCUUCUUCCUAUACCUAAACUGCUGCACUAAUCACCUCACGAGGUGAAUGGCCUUAGUAGUCGAGUGACCUAUAUGAAAUCAAAUUGAUUCUCAAAAAUAUCCACGAUCCUCCUCAGCCGUAACUCUACCUCCUUUUCCCAAACCUUCGUAGUAUAACUCAAUAGCUUGAUACCCCCUAUAGUUGUUGCAACUCUGAAUGCCCUCCUUAUUCUUAUACAAUGGAAUCAUCGUACUCCAUAUCCAAGAUUUGGGCAUCUUCGCCGCCCUAAAAAUAAUGUUAAACAACCUUGUCAAUCACUCAAAACCUGCCCCGCUAGUGCUCUUCCAAAAAUCUACCAAAAUCUUGUUUGGCCCAGUUGCUCUACCCCUAUGCAUCCUACGAAUAGCCCCCUUAACCUCCUCCACCAUAAUUUGCCUUUAAUAACCAUAAUCGCGACACCUCUCCGAGUUCUCCAAAUCCCCCAGCACGAAAUCUUUGUCCCCCUCGUCAUUCAAACGUCUAUGAAAAUACGCUUGCCACCUCUUCUUAAUGAGGACAUCCUCAACCAGCACUCUGUCACUCUCCCUCUUGAUGCACUUCACUUGGUCAAGGUCACGAGCCCUCCACUUCCUGGCCUUGAAAAGCCUAUACAACUUUUUAAUUUCGUCUUUCUCCACUAAAGCCGUAUACAAGCUCUCAAAAGUUGUUGUCUUAGCCGCUGUAACUGCUAACUUAGCCUCUCGCCUAGCUAACGUAUACUCCUCCCUAUUCGUCUACUUCUCAUCGACAUCCUUACUUACAACCAACUUAGCAUAGGCCACCUCCUUAGUCUCCACCUUUCUUUUAACUUCUUCAUUCCAUCACCAGUCCCACCGGUGCUUACCAGAUCGGCCUCUUAAAACACCCAACACCUCUCUAGCGGUCUCCUUGAUGCAACUGGCAGUCGUCUCCCACAUACUAUCUACAUACCCUCUACUAUCCCAAGCCCCUUAGUCGUCAACUUCUCCACUAUUUUCAUGUCAUUGGCCAAAGUCAAACUACCCUACUUAAUCCUAGGUCAAUCCUCCAUACCCCUCUUCUUUCUGUCCCUUUUGACCACUAAGUCCAUCACCAAUAGCUUAUGUUGGGUCGAAAUAUUCUUGCUAGGUAUAACUUUACAGUCUUUACAUAGCGCUCUAUCCCUUUUCCUAAGGAGAAAAAAUCUAUCUGGGUCUUGGCUACUGAACUACUAAAGGUAAUAUGGUGUUCCUCCUUUUAUGGGAAGCUCGAAUUUGCUACCCAAAAGCCCUAGCAAAAUCCAAAAGUAAAGCACCUCCUUCAUGACACUUCCUGAAAUCAAAACCACCAUGCACAUCAUUAUAACCUCAUGAUGAGGACCCAAUACUCCCAUUAAAAUCUCCUCCAACGAAAAGCUUCUUAGAACGCCUUUCACCACUCAUCCAAAACCUCCCAAAAAUGCUUUUCCUCCCCAUCCAACCCUGCAUGUGGAGCGUAAACACUAAUAACAUUCAACAUAGAUCCUCUAAUAACCAACUUAAUUUCGACAUCAACCUAUCGUUAACCCGCUUAACCUCCACCACCUGCCCACUAAGAUCUUCAUCUACUAAGAUACCUACCCCAUUCCUAUGUCUCACACUACCCGAGUACCACAACUUAUAACCGUCUACAUCCUUCGCCUUAGAGCCUAACCAUUUGGUUUUCUAGACACAAGCUAUACUAAUCAUCCUCUUUUUGAAUCUUUACGAGCUUUAUAGACUUACCCUGAAGAGUACCUAUGUUCCAAGAUCCAAUCCUCAACUUAGAAGCUCCCUUGUCCCACCUAACCCUACUAUCCCUCGCCCCGACCCUAACCCAUCAACAAAACUAGACGCCACCCUCACCCUAUCCCCUAGUCCAGGCCCCAAUCCCGACCCCAACCCUGAUCCCGACCUAUGACAUGACCCUAGUUCACCAUCGAUCCCUACAAACACUAUUCAAUAACAUAAGAGAUGGAAAUAAGGCGGGCACAAAUGUAAUAAUGAGUGAACCCUGCAAAGAAGAAUCAAGAAUCAAUCCACCAUAAAAAAUUACAACACGUACCCCGGUAAAUAAUAUGCUAGUCUCAACUAACUCCUACUAAGUAACCGAAAAACAGGAGUCACUAAUCCCACAAGAACCGUCAAGAUAAUGAGACAAGAAACCAAAAGAGAAAGGACUGAAAAAAUAUAUAUCUCGAACGACACAGGAUGUAUUCGUCUUCUAUAGUCAAGAAACCUAGACCAAAUAAACUAGAAGAGAUGAAACAAAUGCACCUGAUCCAAGGAGAAGAUGAAGAUAUAAAAUAAAUUUAUUUCUAAAUUAAAAAAAAACUAUGACCUCCAUUGAAACUGAACAAAUAUAAAACAAAUGCUCUCUCUAUGUUUGAAUUUUUUUGGCCUAUUUUGAUUUGACAUGAUGUUUAGAAAAGUAAAUAAGAUUUAUGAAUCCUGUAGUCUUAACUUAAAGAUAUGACAAAUGUACCAAAAUGUUCAUUAAUCUUGUGGUAAUGAAUAGAUCAUGUGGAAAGUUGAAACUAAAAAAAUUGCUAGAACUGAAAAGAAAUAUUCUUUUCGAAAUGAAAUGAAUUAAAAAGGAAAGUGAGUCAAACAUGUCAUUAUCUAGAGUUUGUUAGUAGUUUAUCCAAACGGCUACUAAGUAUCUAGAGUUUGUUUCCUCCUUAGCAACUUUCAUAAUAUUUAAAUAAAAUUAAUUUCUUCUUUGAAAGAAAUAGUAUAGUAACUUUAAUUCAAUAAAGUGAAUGUUAAAUGAUCAUCCUACAUAAUACAUAGAAAUAUAUUGAUUUUAGACUUACUUUAAACUUGUGGAGAGGCUACCAAACAAUUUUACCUAAAAUGGUUAGAAAAUGCCUUAUCCUCUUGACUCUUGGUCUUUGGCUUACUGUUAAGUCAACACCAGAGCAUGAAAAAAAUUAUGGUAGGAUUGGAAAAAUUGAGAAGAGAGUUCUUGGCAUAGGACAAACGCCAAGUGAGAAAGUAAGUUUUUGCCAAACCUUUAAAAAUAACAGGCUUGCAAUGAAAGCUAUAAAAACCAAAUGUUACAGAAAUUUAUGGUCUCUUCACAGAAACCAAAAUCAAACAGAUCUUACAACAUUUUUCAAUUGACAAAGACAUUUAUACUUUCGGCACGUUCCAGAUGCCGUUGCAACAUUUAUCCUUGUACAAUAUCUAUCAUCUACAUUCUUAUAUUUGUUUUGCCAGCCUCCAUAUGGAGUCAAAGUAAAUUUGCAAAAGGGAGUAACAAUUUUCUUUCUUUGAAACCGGUCACUUAAAAAGGAGUAAUAAUUUAAUAGAAGCCAUUCAAUCUCUCUACACUACCACAUUCAUAAAGGCAUUCAACAACCUCAAAUUUACACUUUUAUUCAGGAAAUCAUGUAAUAAAUGUGAAUUAGAAAGGCAUAUGCCCGACGCUUGGAGAUGGAAUACGAUGAUUCCAUUAUAUAAGAAUAAGGGUGACAUUCAAAGUUGCAACAACUAUAGGGCAUCAAGUUGUUAACUUACACUAUGAAGGCUUGGAAAGGGUGGUAGAGUUGAGGCUGAGGAGGGUCGUGACUAUUUUCAAGAAUCAGUUCGGAUACAUCCUAGGUUGCUUGACCACCGAGGCAAUACAUCUCGUGAGGAGAUUAGUGGAUCAGUUUAGGGAGAGGAAGAAAGAUUUACACAUGUUGUUCAUCAAUCUUGAGAAGGCAUAUGACAAAGUCCCUAGGGAGGUUCUGUGGAGAUGCUUGGAGGCUAGAGGUGUUCCCAUGGCAUACACUAGAUCGAUUAAGGAUAUGUACAACGGAGCGAAGAAUCGUGUGAGAACGGUGGGAGGAUAUUUAGAGCACUUUUAUGAUUUGAUAGAGUUGUACCAGGGAUCGGUAUAAGAAUAAGGGUGACAUUCAAAGUUGCAACAACUAUAGGGCAUCAAGUUGUUAACUUACACUAUGAAGGCUUGGAAAGGGUGGUAGAGUUGAGGCUGAGGAGGGUCAUGACUAUUUUCAAGAAUCAGUUUGGAUACAUCCUAGGUUGCUCGACCACCGAGGCAAUACAUCUUGUGAGGAGAUUAGUGGAUCAGUUUAGGGAGAGGAAGAAAGAUUUACACAUGUUGUUCAUCAAUCUUGAGAAGGCAUAUGACAAAGUCCCUAGGGAGGUUCUGUGGAGAUGCUUGGAGGCUAGAGGUGUUCCCAUGGCAUACACUAGAUCGAUUAAGGAUAUGUACAACGGAGCGAAGAAUCGUGUGAGAACGGUGGGAGGAUAUUUAGAGCACUUUUAUGAUUUGAUAGAGUUGUACCAGGGAUCGGCUCUUAGUCCAUUUUUAUUCGCCUUGAUCAUGGAUGUUCUGACACGGCAUAUUCAAAGGGAAGUGCCUUUGGUGUGUGUUAUUUGUUGAUGAUGUAGUUCUAAUUGAUGAGACUUAGAGAGGAGUUAAUGAUAAGUUGGAGGUUUGGAGAUAGACCCUAUAGUAUAAAGGGUUUAGGUUGAGCAGGACCAAGACAGAAUACUUGGAGUUCAAGUUUAGUUAUACGACGCAUGAGGUUGACUUAGUAGUGAAGCUAGAGUCACAAGCCAUUCGAAAAAGAGAUAGUUCCAAGUAUCUUGGUUCUAUGAUUCAAGGAAAUAGAGAGAUUGACAAGUAUGUUUCACACCGUAUUGGUGCAUGGUGGCUGAAAUGGAGGCUCGUUUCGAGAGUCUUGUGUGAUAAGAAGGUGCCUCCUAAGCUUAAAGGAAAGUUCUAAAGAGUGGUUGUUCGUCCACCUAUGUUGUAUGGAGCGGACUGUUGGCCAGUCAAGAAUUCUCACAUCCAAAAGUUGAAGGUGACAAAAAUGAGAAUGUUAAGAUGUAUGUGUGGGAUUACUAGAAAGAUAGCGUUAGAUAUGAGAUUAUCCAAGAGAAUGUGAGAGUAGCUUCGGUGGAAGACAAGAUGCGAAAAGUGACAUUGAGAUGGUUCAUUAAUGUGAUGAGGAGGCCACGAAUGCCCCAGUACCGAAGUGUGAGAGGUUGGCUAUGGAUGGAUUUAGGUGGGGUCACGGAAGGCCAAAGAAAUAUUGAAGGGAGGCGAUUAAACAUGACAUCAAAUAGCUACAAUUUACUGCGAACAUAACCCUAGAUAGGAAGGUGUGGAGGACGCGAAUUAGGGUAGAAGGUUACUGAGAAAGAGUACGUUCUUAUUAUUAACAAGGAGUGCCUUUUCUGUAGUUGUGUCUCUAGUCGUAGUGUUAUACAUGUGACUUGUAGUUUCUUGUUCAUGGUGUGUUGCUGAUGUUUGUAAUUUUAGGAUAGAUUGUGUAUACUAUUACUUUGUGUGUAUCUUGUUUCUUUUAUUAUCUAUUGGUGUGUUAUCCCAUUUUGUUUGUUGUUUUUAUAUAUUUUUAUACAACUAGUUGUCUUGAGCCGAGAGUCUAUCAAAAAUAGCCUCUCUACUUCAUCUGAGGUAGAGGUAUGGACUGCGUACCUCGUGGGAAUACACUUAGUAUGUUGUUGUUGUAGAAAGGCAAAAAGAAUUGCUCAGUUUAAUGCAUAUGCACACAAGCCAACUGUUUUUACUUGCCCUAUCCACUUGGGAAAACAAGCAUUAUAUUCAAAGGAAAAUAUUGUCUCCUGAUUUUUAUUAUAUAUGAAAUCUACAAUUUGAGCCAAGGGCCUAUCAGAGAUGACCUCUACCUUCACAAAUUAGGGGUAAGGUAAGGUUGCAUACCCAUCACCUUCCCCAAGACCCCGCUUAUGGUAUUACAGUAGAUAUGUUGUUGUUGUGAAAUCUACAAUUCAUCAUAGGGUCCUCGAAACCUAAAAUCCUACUAACAUAACAUGUUGCACUUGUCUAGAUGUAGAUUUUCCUUUCCUCAUGCAAAUCAUCUACGCUAGAAAAGAAAGAGAUAAAGUUAAUCCACAUAGAGGAGUUUGCGAAGGAAGGAAAAGAGUCAUUCUAAUACCUUUCUCAUCACUACAGGUACAGUCAGUUUAUCAAAGUUCAAACAUUUUUUAAACUUUGUAAGGAAAAUUUUGUUCCAGCUUCAACAGAAAAUGCUACCAAUCUCACUGAAGCAAAGUUAUACUGUUCAGUCUCAAAAGGAAGAAACUAAUAAUUUCACUAUACGACAACCUUGUAGAAUAACAAACUUAUUGUUUGUUCAUAAUCAAAACACAACAGUCUCUACUUCGAUUGAAAACUACAAAUAGAAUAUUUCUUCAUGCUCUAGUUUCUGAAACAAAUUCCAAUUCAAACUCCAAUGCCAAAAAGUAAAAACUGGAGAGGGACUUUGAUGUCCAUGCCAACUUGUGCACACCUUGAAUUAUUCCACCUCGUACCUACUACCACCCACCAGUACAACUACCGAGUAACUCUGCCCACUAAGAUUAAGGCAGAAGCAAAGAAAUCAGUAACUGUUUCAUUGUCUCUGGUUGGAUUUAAACUUUGGUCUCCAAUGGUUUCACACAGCAUUAACCGCUGGCUACACUCUUAGGUGCUCAUUGAACAUUUUUCUUUCUUUUUUAUAUGAAUGCCAGAUUGUUGAGCUCACCUCUGUACCACACGUAAUGAAGCUAUACCACUAUGACUAGGCCAAUGGAGCUUCCUCCUAAGAGAGUAUUAUAUUAUCUUAAUAAAAAUCCAAAGUAGCAAACACUCAACUGGAGCAAUAAGCUGCCAUCCAACUCCCCAAUCAGUAUACAACACAAUACCAACAACAUACUCAGUAUAAUCUCACUAUGCAGGGUCUGUGUAGGGUGGGGUGUACACAAACCUAACUCCUAUCUCGUGGAGGUAGAGAGGUUGUUCCCGAAAGACCCUCAGCUCAAGUACCGCAUAAGAAAGCAAUGUUAAAAAGAACAUUAAGAUGCAAAGCGGACAUAGCAAAUUGAUAACAAAAUCAUUACAUAGCAUUCAGGAACAAUAGCAAUUAAAGCAACACUUCAAAAAACUGCACCGAAUUUCUAAUAACUUACAUAAAGAUGAAUAUACAGAUGAAAAGGCAAAAUUCUCCUUGUGGGCAUUGACGGUUUGCUAGGAAAAGAGUCCACCACAUUCAAAAAUGAAAACUUUCUCUUCCCAUAACUUGAUGCUAUAAAAUCAAAUGUCUAUAGAAUCAAGUUACGAUCUUUUCGUAUGUUCGAAAAUUAUAUAAACAUUACUAUAAUAAUGGUCAAAGUUCAUACAGUUUGGCUCUAGAAAAGCUAAAUAUGACAAGUAAAAGUAAACGGAUUGAGUAUACAUAUAACACUUCAAUUAAAAUUCACUUAAAUACUAGCAUACACACAAAUAAUUCAACAAAAUCAAAUUCUAGGACACAAAGUUGGAAAGGGUAUCAAGAAACUUAC